rnacentral:rRNA from 1 species
UACGUAGGGCGCAAGCAGUGUCCGGAAUUAUUGGGCGUAAAGAGCUCGUAGGCGGCCUGUUGCGUCCGCUGUGAAAUCCCGGGGCUCAACCCCGGGCGUGCAGUGGAUACGGGCUGGCUGGAGGCAGGCAGGGGAGAACGGAAUUCCUGGUGUAGCGGUGAAAUGCGCAGAUAUCAGGAGGAACACCGGUGGCGAAGGCGGGUCUCUGGGCCGAUACUGACGCUGAGGAGCGAAAGCGUGGGGAGCGAACAGG